GUAUCUCUCUGGAGAUUCCUGUGUAUUAGUCUUGCUGAAGAGUCCUCAUGCUGUAUGAUGGCAUGCAAUGCAAUGCAGCAGAUGUACUGCAGUAACACCAGAGCACCUUCUGGGAAGAAGCAUGCAGGAAAAAACAUAGUAGAUCUAAACUACUUCUCAACUCUGAACUGUAGCCUGACUUGGAUUAAAGGCUUUGAACAACUCUGUCAAAGGACUGCAGUAAUACCAAAGGAAAAUAACAUUUGUCCAUGACACCUGUUUGGAAAUUGCUAUGAAGGGCAAGAAAUACCAGAAAGUCCUUCACUGCAAGGCAGUGAAAGAAUACCUGGAAACUCUAGAAGCAUUUGGGCCUCUACUGCUUAAUGAAAUAUAUAGGUUUGCAUGGAAGUAACAUGUGACAGAGCAAUCCCUCCUUAGAUUAAACUCUUUCUGGUUAUGAAGAGAACUGCAGAAGUCUCAUCCUUCUUGGGUUAUAUUCCAAAGCUUCUGACAGUGUGUAGCUCCCAGUCAUUCACAUGAAAGCAAAGCAAGACUUGCUUAUCACUGAUGUGCACAGACUGGGACUGAUGCUGAAGAUAAACACAGCCAUCUACCAGUAGGUCUGUAAGGUUACGUGAUAGGUAAUGGAGGUCUACCCCACAGGAAAGACUUGGCUAGCCAAUAGGCAUCCAGGGGUUGCUAAACAGGAUGCAGGACUUCUGGACCAACAGCAUGACUGAGAUAUUUUAGAAUACCUUAGGCGAUGCUGUGAAGCUGAAUCCUACAAAACGUAUAGAUGUAGUAGGAGCUGAAGAACCUACCUGAUUCCAUUGGAUGUGCUGUCCACGUCAACUCAGCAUCCUAUAACUACAGAGAGAAUUCAGACAUCUCUGCCUAGACAGUUCGAAGUAUCAACAGUCCCCAUCCAGCACAUUGCACCAGUAACCACGUAGUCUAGGAACGUUUUUCAUCUUCUGGUCUCAAAAAGAACUAGAAAGGAGUGAGGUAUCUUGCUUGUAGUCACGAUCCAAGCAGAGUAUACAUUAGAAGUACUUUAGAAAGUUAUUACUACAGCUGGCCCUUAAAACAUUUAUCAGAUGGAACUCUACUCAAAACACUUGGACAUACAUCUGAAUUGCUGCGUUGUACCAAGUUAUAGGGCACAAUCUAACUCAGAUGUCUGAAGAUAAGUGACAUCAGAUUUUAUCUGCAAGUGACCCUCUCCAUCAAUUUUGAAGAGCCUCAGGAGAUGGACUCUAGCAGGAAUUCAACUUGAUGAUCCUUGUGGGGCCCCUUCCAGCUCAGGGUAUUUUAUGAUGAUUCUAAGACAGCCCAUUUGACUAGCAGACAGUGGGCCAGUUAUAAACAUUCCCUAUUUCUUUUCUCUAUAGUUGACUGGAUGCACAUUAACUGUAACAGGAGUUUGGAUGCACAUAAUCUGGGUGUCUUAGUCUGGAGCUUAUUAAAGUCAGUCAUCUUGUGGAGAUGACUUCCAAUCCUCAC
rnacentral:lncRNA from 7 species